rnacentral:rRNA from 1 species
UGGGGAAUUUUGGACAAUGGGCGAAAGCCUGAUCCAGCAAUGCCGCGUGUGUGAAGAAGGCCUUCGGGUUGUAAAGCACUUUUGUCCGGAAAGAAAUCCUUGGCUCUAAUACAGUCGGGGGAUGACGGUACCGGAAGAAUAAGCACCGGCUAACUACGUGCCAGCAGCCGCGGUAAUACGUAGGGUGCAAGCGUUAAUCGGAAUUACUGGGCGUAAAGCGUGCGCAGGCGGUUUGCUAAGACCGAUGUGAAAAUCCCCGGGCUCAACCUGGGAACUGCAUUAGUGACUGGCAGGCUAGAGUAUGGCAGAGGGGGGUAGAAUUCCACGUGUAGCAGUGAAAUGCGUAGAGAUGUGGAGGAAUACCGAUGGCGAAGGCAGCCCCCUGGGCCAGUACUGACGCUCAUGCACGAAAAGCGUGGGGAGCAAAACAGGAUUAGAUACCCUGGUAGUCCACGCCCUAAAACGAUGUCAACUAGUUGUUGGGGAUUCAUUCCUUAGUAACGUAGCUAACGCGUGAAAGUUGACCGCCUGGGGAGUAACGGUCGCAAAGAUUAAAAACUCAAAAGGAAUUGAC